rnacentral:tRNA from 1 species
AAGCUCAGUGGUAGAGCAUUUUGUUCGUAAUGAAAAGGCCCGUGGUUCGACAC